GAGACCUUCCCGACGACCCCUGCUCCGGCGGGGAAGUGAGCAAGGAUGAUUGAGGAAAGUGGGAACAAGCGGAAGACCAUGGCAGAGAAGAGGCAGCUGUUCAUAGAAAUGCGUGCUCAGAAUUUUGAUGUCAUACGACUGUCAACUUACAGAACAGCCUGCAAAUUACGAUUUGUACAAAAACGAUGCAACCUUCAUCUUGUUGAUAUCUGGAACAUGAUUGAAGCCUUCCGAGACAAUGGCCUUAAUACACUGGACCAUACCACCGAGAUCAGUGUGUCCCGCCUCGAAACUGUCAUCUCCUCCAUCUACUAUCAGUUGAACAAGCGCCUUCCUUCUACUCACCAAAUUAGUGUGGAACAAUCUAUCAGCCUCCUCCUCAACUUUAUGAUUGCUGCAUAUGACAGAGAAAGAUAAUGCUAAAUAUGUUUUUAGACAUGAUGAUGGCUGACCCUCCUCCCCAGUGCCUUGUCUGGCUACCUCUCAUGCACAGGCUUGCCCAUGUUGAGAAUGUCUUCCAUCCCGUGGAGUGCUCCUACUGCCGAUGUGAGAGUAUGAUGGGUUUCCGGUACCGAUGCCAGCAGUGCCACAACUAUCAGCUCUGCCAGAAUUGCUUUUGGCGUGGCCAUGCCGGUGGCCCUCACAGCAACCAGCACCAGAUGAAGGAGCAUUCCUCUUGGGUAACUGCUUUGUGUUUCAUCUGUGUCCCUGAGUGUUAAUCUGUUUGAUCAGUAACAGCACCUGGACCAGUUUCCUCAUGGAUGCCUCCCAAAUAAGGAUGUGGUAUAGUAAAAUCUUAACACUAACAUUUAUGCCAGAAUUGCAAAAAUGUGCUUCCUCACUUGAUUUUAAAAGCAGAAUUUUAAAAAAUUCCAGGAAAUAAAGAUACUACAUUUGAAAUGGUCUCUUUUAUUCAGUAAAAUGGAAUGUUGCAAUGCUCUCUUUCCAAAGGGAAAAGUGAGUUUCUUCUUAUUUUAAAACUGUACAGGCCAGGCGCGG
rnacentral:sRNA from 1 species